rnacentral:rRNA from 1 species
GAACGCUGGCGGCAGGCCUAACACAUGCAAGUCGAGCGGUAGCACAGAGAGCUUGCUCUCGGGUGACGAGCGGCGGACGGGUGAGUAAUGUCUGGGAAACUGCCUGAUGGAGGGGGAUAACUACUGGAAACGGUAGCUAAUACCGCAUAACGUCGCAAGACCAAAGUGGGGGACCUUCGGGCCUCAUGCCAUCAGAUGUGCCCAGAUGGGAUUAGCUGGUAGGUGGGGUAACGGCUCACCUAGGCGACGAUCCCUAGCUGGUCUGAGAGGAUGACCAGCCACACUGGAACUGAGACACGGUCCAGACUCCUACGGGAGGCAGCAGUGGGGAAUAUUGCACAAUGGGCGCAAGCCUGAUGCAGCCAUGCCGCGUGUGUGAAGAAGGCCUUCGGGUUGUAAAGCACUUUCAGCGGGGAGGAAGGCGAUAAGGUUAAUAACCUUGUCGAUUGACGUUACCCGCAGAAGAAGCACCGGCUAACUCCGUGCCAGCAGCCGCGGUAAUACGGAGGGUGCAAGCGUUAAUCGGAAUUACUGGGCGUAAAGCGCACGCAGGCGGUCUGUCAAGUCGGAUGUGAAAUCCCCGGGCUCAACCUGGGAACUGCAUUCGAAACUGGCAGGCUAGAGUCUUGUAGAGGGGGGUAGAAUUCCAGGUGUAGCGGUGAAAUGCGUAGAGAUCUGGAGGAAUACCGGUGGCGAAGGCGGCCCCCUGGACAAAGACUGACGCUCAGGUGCGAAAGCGUGGGGAGCAAACAGGAUUAGAUACCCUGGUAGUCCACGCUGUAAACGAUGUCGAUUUGGAGGUUGUGCCCUUGAGGCGUGGCUUCCGGAGCUAACGCGUUAAAUCGACCGCCUGGGGAGUACGGCCGCAAGGUUAAAACUCAAAUGAAUUGACGGGGGCCCGCACAAGCGGUGGAGCAUGUGGUUUAAUUCGAUGCAACGCGAAGAACCUUACCUGGUCUUGACAUCCACAGAACUUUCCAGAGAUGGAUUGGUGCCUUCGGGAACUGUGAGACAGGUGCUGCAUGGCUGUCGUCAGCUCGUGUUGUGAAAUGUUGGGUUAAGUCCCGCAACGAGCGCAACCCUUAUCCUUUGUUGCCAGCGGUCCGGCCGGGAACUCAAAGGAGACUGCCAGUGAUAAACUGGAGGAAGGUGGGGAUGACGUCAAGUCAUCAUGGCCCUUACGACCAGGGCUACACACGUGCUACAAUGGCAUAUACAAAGAGAAGCGACCUCGCGAGAGCAAGCGGACCUCAUAAAGUAUGUCGUAGUCCGGAUUGGAGUCUGCAACUCGACUCCAUGAAGUCGGAAUCGCUAGUA